CUGCUCCUGCGGUAUUCGUGAGGAAGGUGCGUUUAUUUAACCUAUAACGUAACUUGGGGGCCUAUCCCUGAAUGUGGUGUGCGCAAUCUUAGGAUUGUGCCUAAAGCGAUUUACAUGGGUCCCACCUAGCAAUUGCUGGGUUCAAAUAAAGACUUCUAACGGUACAGGUGGGAGCAGU
rnacentral:other from 1 species